rnacentral:tRNA from 1 species
GGUCUUAUAGUCUAAUGAGGACAAUAAAUUGCAAAUUUAUGAGUGGGUGUAACCCUAAGGCUU